rnacentral:misc_RNA from 1 species
UUUCCGUAGGUGAACCUGCGGAAGGAUCAUUAAAGUUAUAGUCCCCCGGCCCUCUGGGCUGGGGUCUUCUAUACCACCCUUUGUUUAUUACACCUUUGUUGCUUUGGCAGGCCUGCCCUCGGGCUGCUGGCUCCGGCCGGCUCGCGUCUGCCAGAGGACCUGAACUCUGUUUGUAUAUGAAGUCUGAGUACUAUAUAAUAGUUAAAACUUUCAACAACGGAUCUCUUGGUUCUG